UGCUGGAAAUUUCUGCCAUUCUUAAACAAAGCAUCUUUGUGCUGUAUCAGCUUGCAUUUUCCUUGGAUUGUGUUUGGAUGAUGCCUUUUCACUGACUUCAGCACUGGAGUAUUGUAGCCAUAGCCUUAGUGCAAGCCCAGAGGCAGUCUAUACCCCGACUCAACUGGCUGGUCCUCAGUGCUGCCUGCUUCCGUGCCCAACUUAGAACUACACAUCUGCUGCCUCCUGGUAACAUGUCAUUAUAAGUCUGAAGAUUGCCAUUUGAAAUGCUCUUUGAGGGACGUGAAGUCAACCCCAGAUCCAAAGUAGCUUUGAUGUUUGUCAGGAAAAUGCUGGAGUUCUAUAUACUACAGUUUCCACAGAGCAUGAAGAACUCCAACUUCAGAUAACCUGCAAAAAAAGUCAGAGAGCAAUUAAAUGUAAAAAUAAAUUCCUUUGAUAAAACAAA